rnacentral:lncRNA from 1 species
AAAAAGUAUAAAGAAGAGAGAAAAAUAACAAAAGUAUAAAGAAGAGAGAAAAAUAAACAAAAAGUAUAAAGAACAGAGAAAAAUAAACAAAAAGUAUAAAGAAGAGAGAAAAAUAAACAAAAGUAAUAAAGAAGAGAGAAAAAUUAAACAAAAGUAUAAAGAAGGAAGAAAAUAAACAAAAGUAUAAAGAAGAGAGAAAAAUAAACAAAAGUAUAAAGAACAGAGGAAAAAUAAACAAAAAGUAUAAAGAAGAGAAAAAAUAACAAAAGUAAAAGAGAGAAAAAUAAACAAAAAAGUAUAAAGAGAGAGAAAAAUAAACAAAGUAUAAAGAAGAAAGAAAAUAAACAAAAGUAUAAAAGAAGAGAGAAAAAUAAACAAAAGUAUAAAGAAGAGAGAAAAAUAACACAAAAGUAUAAAGAAGAAGAGCAUAAUAUAUACAAAAAGUAUAAAAAAAUAACAAAAGGUAUAAAAGAAGAGAGAAAAAUAAACCAGAAAGUAUAAGAAAAGGGAAAAAAGAUUUAAAAAAUAAAGAAGAGAGAAAAUAAAUAAAAGAGGAAAACAAAAGAAAAGGCGAGAAUAACAAUAUAAAAGAAAGAGAGAAAAAUAAAAGAUACGAGAAAAUAACAAAAAAUAUAAAGAAGAGAGAAAAAUAAACAAAAAAGUUAAAAGAAGAGAGAAAAAUAAACAAAAAGUAUAAAGAAGAGAGAAAAAUAAACAAAAAGUAUAAAGAAGAAAGAAAAUAAACAAAAAGUAUAAAAGAAGAGAGAAAAAUAACAAAAGUAUAAGAAGAGAGAAAAAUAACAAAAGUAUAACGAACAGAGAAAAAAUAAAGACAAAAUAGUAUAAGAAGAAGAGAAAAUAAACAAAAGUAUAAAGAGAGAGAAAUCAACAAAAAGUAUAAAGAACGGAGAGAAAAAGUAAACGAAAAGUAUAAGAAGAGAGAAAUUUAAAACAAAAAGUAUAAAGAAGAGAAGAAAAAUCAACAAAAUGUAUGAAAGAGAGGGGAAAACUAAACAAAAGGUAAUAAAAGAAGAGAGAAAAAAUCAAAAAGUAUAGAAAGAAGGAAAAGAAAUAACAUAAAAAGGUUAAAAGAAGAGGAGAAAAUAAACAAAGUAUGAAAGGAAGAGAGAAAAUAAACAAAAGUAUUAAAGAAGAGAGAAAAUAAGAGCAAAAGUAUAAAGAAGAAAAGAAAAAAAAAAAAUUUAAACAAAAAAAAAAAGGUAAUAAAGAAGGAGAGAAAAGAUAAACAGAAGUCUAAGAGAAGAUAAGAAAAAUAAAACAAAAAAGUAUAAAGAAGAGAGAAAAAUAAACAAAAAGUAUAAAGAGAAGAGAAGAAAAUAAACAAAAAGUUAUAAAGAAGAGAGAAAAAUAAACAAAAAGUAUAAAGAAGAAGA